CGUGUAGGCGGUCUAGCAAGUCGAUCGUGAAAUCCCUUGGCUUAACCAAGGAACUGCGGUCGAAACUACUAAACUAGAGUAUCGGAGGGGGUGGCGGAAUUCCCGGUGUAGAGGUGAAAUUCGUAGAUAUCGGGAGGAACACCUGUGGCGAAGGCGGCCACCUGGAAGAUUACUGACGCUGAGACGCGAAAGCGUGGGGAGCAAACAAG
rnacentral:rRNA from 1 species